AGAAAAUAUCCCUCACUCUAUUCUGCCUCUCAGACAAUUUUUUUUUUUUUUUUUUGCCGUUUCGAGGAAGUUUUCAGCAAAUCCACCCUCGCUCCCAGCUCUCGCAGGGUGCGAUAACACCGGAGCCCUCUGAAAGUUUGAGAAAAAGAGAGGAGGAGAAAUAGGGAGCGAGGAAAUAAAGAGCAGCAGCUAAAGAAGAGCGAGGAGACGGUGCAGGAGUGGAGGCUGCCAAGGGGGAAGAAGGGCUCGAAUCUCUGCAGGAAAAAGCUCUCCCGGAGCCCGGGUGGGACCUGCGGAGCCGAGCCCGGGUCCCCCCGCAGGCUGCGGGCACAGGAGCCACCAACCUCCCCACUGCGGGUGCCCGAGGAGCCACCGUUCAAGACAAUGUCUAUUUUCUGUCAUUAAUAACUCGUUUCUUCCUUUAAAAAAAAAAAAAAAAAUCUCGUUUGGAUCCAAGAUUGUUUUUAUGAUUCAGUCGGACAAGACGGAACACAUGUUAGUUUAAGCAGGUUCAUGAAAUAGCUGUAAAUCAAAUAAAGUUUACGAGUUUAGCAGGAAAUACUGAAAAGAUGAGGGGGAGGGAAAAAAAAAUCCGCCGAGGCAGAGAGCAGCAGGCUGAAAUAGUCGGUGGAGUUUUGUCCUGCUCUGUGUUUCUCUCUGUUCUCUUGUGCAUCUUGCCGAUUAAAGGCCUCGAGACCCCGUGUUGGCGCCAAGUGGCAUGUUAUUAAUCAGUUAUCCCGAGGUUCAGUCCACAGAAGAGAGAAAUUUAAUCACCAGAAACCAGACCCGACAUAAAAGAGAAAUCUAAAAUCAAUUCCCUCCCGUCGUCCCGUCUCCCCCUCCCCUUCCCCACCUCCGAAGCGAGCAGAACGAGCGGGAGCAAUCAAGAUCGUGCUCCCUCUCCCUCUUAAUUGCGGCGGGAGAACCGCAAAUUUCUCCGAACUUUACCGCGAAAAGAAUUUGGGGGGGAAAAAAAUUAAAAAAAAAAAAAUCUACAGGAAAAAGAGAUCCCAAAGACCCGCAACAAGUUUGUCCUUGAUCUCGCUAUAAAAACGU